rnacentral:misc_RNA from 1 species
UGUCUUGCUUCUGCAAUGACAUAAUCCAAGGCCUUGAAGACCCGCUCAUCAAACCGACCAGGGGAAAUCUGGAGAGCAUUGUAGCCGCCAUCAUUGAAGGCCCAUGUUCGACAAACAGUGAGACCCAUCUUGGCACCAGCUUCUAGCAUUGCGCUAACCCUGGGUUUCCUAUCUUCUUCCGCAGAAUGAUCCAUUAACCAAUAAGAAUUCCAUCCAUUAAUGUAAAAGGGCCU